rnacentral:misc_RNA from 1 species
GAUGAAGAACGUAGCGGAAUGCGAUAAGUAAUGUGAAUUGCAGAAUUCAGUGAAUCAUCGAGUCUUUGAACGCACAUUGCGCCCCCUGGUAUUCCGGGGGGCAUGCCUGUCCGAGCGUCAUUGCUGCCCUCAAGCACGGCUUGUGUGUUGGGCCCCGUCCCCUCCCCCGGGGACGGGCCCGAAAGGCAGCGGCGGCACCGCGUCCGAUCCUCGAGCGUAUGGGGCUUUGUCACCCGCUCUGUAGGCCCGGCCGGCGCCAGCCGACACCCAACUUUUAUUUCUAAGGUUGACCUCGGAUCAGGUAGGGAUACCCGCUGAACUUAAGCAUAUCAAUAAGCGGAGGA